GAGCCUAUAGCCUAGUGGUCAUGGCAUCUGCCCGGUAAGCUAUCCGUGAACUUCACACAGACAGAAUAAGGCAAUUAUAUAAGUAGACUGCCCGGUAAGCGGAAGGUCGUGGGUUCGAUUCCCAUCCCUUGACACU